GGGAGGGUGAUUGGUAGGUUACCUAGUUGAUCUCUACAACAUCGUUGUAGCUCUGUAGGUUGGUGAGAUAAAGAUGGUGAUGCCGUCCAGCUAUUUGGAGAGGAUGAUCCUUCGUUGAUUUGCCGUCAAAUGCCGUCCGCAGUGAGCAAGCUUUUAGAUGGAUUCUAUGGAACGUGGAUUGGAUUGGUUGUGUUCUCUUUAAUAGGCGUGUGAGAAUGGAAGAGAUUUAGAUUUAGAUAGAUAUUUUUUCUAUUUGUUGGUUUAGAGAUAGACAUAUUUUUAAAAAAAGAAAUUGCAAUACAUGUCUACAUGUCAUCGCUAGGGACUAUGCACGCACAUAUCUUGUUUGUUAGUUGUAUUAGCUAAAGAUCCUUUUAGGAUAGAUACGAUUUAGAAUCAACUAAGUGAAUCUGUUU
rnacentral:lncRNA from 1 species